rnacentral:lncRNA from 1 species
UCAUAUAAAAGAUUAACUGUAUUGACUUUGGAUCAGUCCAUAUAAAAUAAAUUAGGGUUCAUCAAAACCCAAAUAGCAAGAAAAUUAAUUCUUAGAUAUUAUAAUAAAGAAGUAAAGAUUAGGGGAAGAAGAUCUCAUUAUGGUUCAUGGAACAGUAGAAAUAAAAAUCUUCAAUCUUCAAUCUUCAAUGUUGGAAAGCAAUAAAGGAAAUGAUAUUCUUCCUUGAGAAAUAUCAAGCAAAAUGCUAAAAAUGAAAGGAAAAUGAAGUUUCUAAGUAUUUCUCACUCUAGAAAUUAAAAUAUCACGGAAAAACCCAAAGCAACCCUAAAAGUUCCUUUAAAUAGUGUGUUUUUGUGAUCCAUACGGGAACCACACGGGCACCAUAUGGCCAUAUGGUGUCCUUAGCUUAAAAUUAUUGUUAAGAAAAUUCUCUGCUCAUGCGGGAGGGCACACGGGCAUGUCCUAUUUCCAUGUUGUGUCUUGGACAAUCUGCCAUUUUUUUCAACUCACACGGGAAAGCCAUACGGGCAUGUGCUUCCUGUGUCGUGUGCUCCUUCAAUUUGCCAAUUUUUUCACUUCACACAAGAUCACACGAGUAGGUUCUUCCUAUAUCUUGCCCGUGUGAUUCUCCAUUCCUUGAUAAACAAGUACUUUGCUGAUUUUUCAUGUAUUUUGAUGCCAAAACUUCCUUUUGUCAUGCAAGCUUGCUAAGUACCUAAAAAGGGCUAAAAACAAACUCUAACAAAUAAAUUAAACUCAAUUUAAUAUGAAAUUAAGAUAAAACAAGACUUAAAACUAAGUGCUUAUAGCACUUAUCAAUCCAUCAUAGUAAAACUGCACCAAUAGAGUAAGAGGGAAGUUGUGAUACAAGUAAGCAUUAUAGAAAGAUUCUCUUUCUUUUUGAGUGAAAUUGCAGAUUCUAGACCUAUGAUCCAAGGACUUCUAAGGUGAAUAGUACUUCAUCAUAAAAGCAUCAUACACCUCAUCUCAAGUAGUUAAAGACCCUUCAGGUAAAUUCAACAAUCAUGUUCUAGUAGAGUUCUUCAUAUAGUAAGGAAAAUACUUUUUCCUUUGUUCUCCUUCAUUUAGUUCCCAAGAGGGAGAAUCUGCACCACAUUAUAAAAUCCCUUCAUGAAUGACAAUGGAUCUUCAGACCCAAUCCUUCAAAAUGUGGUAGCAUUGUCAAAUGAAUAGUUUUCAGCUCAUAAUUCAUGGCAUUUGUAAUUAGUUGAAUACAGGGCGUGUUUGCAUUAAUCUUAGGCUUUUGGAAAUUUCUAAGCCUGAGUGUAUUCUCCUCUACUGCCACAAUUGCAUUCCUCUCGUUUGCCAUAUGUUCUUUCUUAUCUUUCUAUUAGCUUUAUAAGUCUUUCCAUCUCAGAAUCAAAUGGAAGAAUUAAUGUUUGCUCUACACUCUUAGAUCUUCUCAAAUGCAUAAAAUACCUAUAAAAUUAAGAGAAAAAGAAAGAGAUAAAUAAAUAAGAAAGAAAAUAAUAAAAUAAAAUAAAAUAAAUAAAUAAAACAAACACAAGAUUUGAAUAAAUAACAAUUAGAAACCAUUAUCCUCGGCAAUAGUGCCAAUAACUUGAUUGCUAAAAUCUUCACUUGUAAGUGUAUAAGGUAAUUGCAGUAUAGAAUGGUGAAUCAAAAUUGAUGCCACAUGGACAGCUCAAUUGAUAUUUGCUAAAAAAUUGUGUAAACUAAAAGAAUCAAAUUGUAAAGAUUGGAAAUUGAAAUAAUAAAAGAAAUUAAUAUGAUAGAACUUUAAUAGUUAAAAACACUAGAGAUCUGGGUUUCAUUUAAUGGCAAUCCUCAUGGAGGCCAAAUCAAAUUCUCAAUUCUUAAAUGCAAUUGUUCAUAAGAUAUUCCAAUACUCUUUCAACCUAUUAGAUUGUAUUCAAUUAAGAUAAUCACUGAUUCUCAAGGGAAAUAGACAUAAUCAAACCCAUUAAGUAAUAAUUCAAGCAUCAUAGUCUAUUAGAUAUAUUUAUUUACCUAAAAUCACUAUGUUUAAUUUCCUAGAUCUAGAUUUAUACUUCUCCUUUCAGUCUAUCAUACAAAUCUAGAAUAAUAAUACUAUGAUAAUUAGGCAUAAAUAUUCAAAAUAAGCACAAGAAGAUUAAAUCAAGAACUAAAGAGAAUUAUCAUUAAAAUCCAAUCAAAAAUCUAUUAAACUACAUGCAUCACUCUAAUACAGAGAUCAGUUACUCAUACUAGAUAAACAACAACCACAAUAAAUAACUAAAUAAAAUAUAAUUCAGAUUGAGAGUUAGAAAAAACACUAUUUUAAUCUCCAAGGAAUUAUGAAAUCUCCCUUCAAUGUUGUAGCAAUUUCCACUUUCUCUCUCUACAAAGUUUUUUUUUUCUCUCCAACUGAAUUCCUCUUUCUAAAACUAAUAAUAUCC